AGGCUUAGAUACCCUGGUAGUCCACGCCGUAAACGAUGUCUACUAGCCGUUGGGACUCUUGAAGUCUUAGUGGCGCAGCUAACGCACUAAGUAGACCGCCUGGGGAGUACGGCCGCAAGGUUAAAACUCAAAUGAAUUGACGGGGGCCCGCACAAGCGGUGGAGCAUGUGGUUUAAUUCGACGCAACGCGAAGAACCUUACCUGGCCUUGACAUGCAGAGAACUUUCCAGAGAUGGAUUGGUG
rnacentral:rRNA from 1 species